rnacentral:sRNA from 1 species
AUGCUCGAAUUACACUCUUUCUUUUACUCAUUCUCAUUUUUGGAGGUUGGAAAAAAGUUAACGCGCAAUUUCAUAUGUCCUCUUUGGUGCCGUUCUGUGAGUGAAACGGCGAGAUGUGUGGAGGAAAAAGAAGAAAUAGAUGGGUACAGGCUGACCGGUUGAGACCAUUUCUGAUGUGUGUGCUAAGGAGGUGGCUUUUGUAUGUGCAUACAUACAUACAUACAUGCACAUGUGUGUAUGUUUAGGGUAAUUUGAAUAGCCUAUUAUUGACAAUUGCAAAUGGAAAAAGCAAGUGCAAGUGCAAGUGCGCGAAAAGACGAAUCGGGCCAAGACAAGGCUAGCGACCAGCUGGCCGCAAAGUUGUCUUUUGGCUUUAAAUCAAAAAACAAGUGCAGUAAAAAGUGGCAACAGCAACAGCAACAGCAACAAAAGCAGCGCCAUUUAACGGCUGUCAUUGUUGAUGGUGCAGUGGUUUUCAGCUGCGACGUUCGUGUUUGAUCAAGAUCAAGGCUGCAGUGUGUCGUGUGUGUGUCUGUGUGUGGUUGUACAAAAAAUACAACAAAUGCUGACCUCCAGUUAGCCAGCAAUUAAAACAGCAUUAUAAAAUACCCCGCGCCAAAGGCAAAGCCCGUCGAAGUUGUCGUCUAGAAUUCGUAAUACAUUCUUUGCACCCUCUCCCUGCGAAUGGGGGAUGGAUCUUUGAUGCUACGACUGGCAAAUCGGGUAGAUGAACUCGCCUGAAAAGGGAUUCAAAGUACACACAUAGUGCAACGUAUCACCUGAUCUGCCAUAUAACAUUUGCUCUGAUCUUAGGAUCGGUGUAUAUGUAUCUACUAUACCUUACUACCAUAUAUAUUUUCGUAUAGUAUGUAUGGAUGUGUGUAUGCGGGUGGCACCUGAGCGAGAAGUACGCCCACCCAACAGCUGUCGUUGCUAUCGGCCAUGGGCGUUCAACUUGUUGUUUAUGGAAAACUACUUAAAAAACAACAGAAAGAGCAACAGAGGCAACAGAAAAGCGAAGCACAACCAAAACAAAACAAAAAGAUGCAGGCAUCCACGGGAGACAGCGAACAGGCAACAGCGGAGAGAUGAGAGUUCGUCGUCUGCCAGUUUCUGACCCACAUUUGCAUACAGUAAACACACACAGAAAACGAAAAACGAAACUGAAACUGAAACGUGUUGCGUUGGAGGGCGUGAGAAGCAAGGAGAGAGAGAGAGAGUCAAAAUGAAGGAACGGACAGCAGCAGACAGCAGCGGACAGCAGCGGACAGCAGCGGAAAGCAGCGGACAGCAUCCCCCCAACUGUACCGCUCUCAUUGGUGUACCCACUUCCAUUGUAACCAGCUUAGUCGUAACCGUUUUUACUGCGCCACCCACCCAUCCGUCCUGCGCUAUGACUUGUUUCUUACUGAACUUUGCCCCUUUUUAACCUAUGUAUGCACUCUUCCGCGAUCUAUCGCGAUCUCAUGCUAACCAAACACCUCACUUCUCCUGACUUCUUUACCAUUUGUACUAUCUAUCACUGUAAUGUUCCCAAAUGAUUGUGCCCUACCUCAUUGCAGCACAGUGUCUUGUACCCCGAUCGAUCACCUGUAUUCACUCUUUUUGUUGGUGUAUUUUGUUACAAAUAUUAAAUUAUGCGUAUAAAAUGUAUAUUUUUGUUGCUUGCUGGCUCUUUACCGCUUUCCCCCUAUGCCAAUAGCCAAGCGCUCUUCGUCCCCUCCCCCAUGCCACCAUUCUCAAGCGGUGUACCCCCCCCGCACCACGUAAGCCCAUACAAA